CACGGGGGGAGCAAGCGUUGUUCGGAAUCACUGGGCGUAAAGGGCGUGUAGGCGGUUCGGUAAGUGGAAUGUGAAAUGCUCCGGCUCACCCGGAGUACUGCAUCCCAAACUGCCGAGCUUGAGUAUGGGAGAGGAUGAGGGAAUUCCUGGUGUAGCGGUGAAAUGCGUAGAUAUCGAGAGGAACACCAGUGGCGAAGGCGAGUCCCUGGACAACACCUGACACUGAGGCACGAAGGCCAGGGGAGCAAACGGG
rnacentral:rRNA from 1 species